ACGCUAGCUACAGGCUUAACACAUGCAAGUCGAGGGGAAACGACAUUGAAGCUUGCUUCGAUGGGCGUCGACCGGCGCACGGGUGAGUAACGCGUAUCCAACCUGCCUCUGACUAAGGGAUAACCCGGCGAAAGUCGGACUAAUACCUUAUGAGGUUUUCAGCAGACAUCUAACGAAAACGAAAGAUUUAUCGGUCAGUGAUGGGGAUGCGUCUGAUUAGCUUGUUGGCGGGGUAACGGCCCACCAAGGCAACGAUCAGUAGGGGUUCUGAGAGGAAGGUCCCCCACAUUGGAACUGAGACACGGUCCAAACUCCUACGGGAGGCAGCAGUGAGGAAUAUUGGUCAAUGGGCGAGAGCCUGAACCAGCCAAGUAGCGUGCAGGAUGACGGCCCUAUGGGUUGUAAACUGCUUUUAUGUGGGGAUAAAGUGAGCUACGUGUAGUUUAUUGCAGGUACCACAUGAAUAAGGACCGGCUAAUUCCGUGCCAGCAGCCGCGGUAAUACGGAAGGUCCAGGCGUUAUCCGGAUUUAUUGGGUUUAAAGGGAGCGUAGGCCGUGGAUUAAGCGUGUUGUGAAAUGUAGACGCUCAACGUCUGAAUUGCAGCGCGAACUGGUUCACUUGAGUAUGCACAACGUAGGCGGAAUUCGUCGUGUAGCGGUGAAAUGCUUAGAUAUGACGAAGAACUCCGAUUGCGAAGGCAGCUUACGGGAGCACAACUGACGCUGAAGCUCGAAGGUGCGGGUAUCAAACAGGAUUAGAUACCCUGGUAGUCCGCACAGUAAACGAUGGAUGCCCGUUGUUAGUUCACUUAUGAAUUAGCGACCAAGCGAAAGCAUUAAGCAUCCCACCUGGGGAGUACGCCGGCAACGGUGAAACUCAAAGGAAUUGACGGGGGCCCGCACAAGCGGAGGAACAUGUG
rnacentral:rRNA from 1 species